rnacentral:rRNA from 1 species
UACAGAGGUCUCAAGCGUUGUUCGGAAUCACUGGGCUUAAAGGGUGCGUAGGCGGCGCAGUAAGUUGGGUGUGAAAUCCCUCGGCUUAACCGAGGAAUUGCGCCCAAAACUACUGUGCUCGAGGGAGGUAGAGGUGAGCGGAACUUAGGGUGGAGCGGUGAAGUGCGUUGAUAUCCUAAGGAACACCGGUGGCGAAAGCGGCUCACUGGACCUCUUCUGACGCUGAGGCACGAAAGCUAGGGUAGCAAACGGG